GGGCCCGCACAAGCAGUGGAGUAUGUGGUUUAAUUCGACGCAACGCGAAGAACCUUACCAGGGCUUGACAUCCGACUAACGAAGCAGAGAUGCAUUAGGUGCCCUUCGGGGAAAGUCGAGACAGGUGGUGCAUGGUUGUCGUCAGCUCGUGUCGUGAGAUGUUGGGUUAAGUCCCGCAACGAGCGCAACCCUUAUGGUUAGUUGCUACGCAAGAGCACUCUAGCCAGACUGCCGUUGACAAAACGGAGGAAGGUGGGGACGACGUCAAAUCAUCAUGCCCUUUAUGCCCUGGGCUACACACGUACUACAAUGGUGGUCAUACAGAGGGAUGCAAAACAGCGAUGUGGAGCGAAACCCUAAAAGCCAUCUCAGUUCAGAUUGCAGGCUGCAACUCGCCUGCAUGAAGGUGGAAUUGCUAGUAAUCGCGGAUCAGAAUGCCGCGGUGAAUACGUUCCCGGGCCUU
rnacentral:rRNA from 1 species